AUCUCGAAAGCCGGUCUCAGUUCGGAUUGGAGUCUGCAACUCGACUCUAUGAAGCUGGAAUCGCUAGUAAUCGCGCAUCAGCCAUGGCGCGGUGAAUACGUUCCCGGGCCUUGUACACACCGCCCGUCAAGCCAUGGAAGUUUGGGGUACCUGAAGUCGGUGACCGUAAAAGGAGCUGCCUAGGGUAAAACAAGUAACUAGGGCUAAGUCGUAACAAGGUAGCCGUACCGGAAGGUGCGGCUGGAACAUCUCAUUU
rnacentral:rRNA from 1 species